rnacentral:rRNA from 1 species
CAAUAGCGUAUAUUAAAGUUGUUGCAGUUAAAAAGCUCGUAGUUGGAUUUGUGGUGUACUUCGGCGGCCCGUCACUAUGUGAUGGAGCUUGCUGAAGUCGCCAUCCUUGGGUGGAUCCUGUGUGGCAUUAAGUUGUCGUGCAGGGGAUGCCCAUCGUUUACUGUGAAAAAAUUAGAGUGUUCAAAGCAGGCUUAUGCCGUUGAAUAUAUUAGCAUGGAAUAAUAAGAUAGGACCUUGGUACUAUUUUGUUGGUUUGCGCACCAAGGUAAUGAUUAAUAGGGACAGUUGGGGGUAUUCGUAUUUCAUUGUCAGAGGUGAAAUUCUUGGAUUUUUGAAAGACGAACUACUGCGAAANCANNNACGAAGGAUGUUUUCAUNAA